rnacentral:lncRNA from 1 species
UGUGUUUUUUUUCAAAGAUCAAUAUCUUUGGUUUUCCAUUUCCUUCUCCAGCUCAAUUUACAGAUGAAGAACAGAGGCAAACAGGAUCAAGUGACUUGCCCAGGUCAUACAGAACAAAGUACUGAGCCUCAGUGAAAUUAUGUGACUUGCCAUGGGACUUGUAAGUAAUGAUAUCAAAGGCAUCAUUUGAACCCACAUCUUCAGGAUUCGGGAAGGAGCCUUCAAGAAAAAAGCAAGAUGAGCACUUGGCAAAGAUGUCAAGUCAAGAUUGUAUGAGGAUGGGGAGACAGCUGAAUGGCUCAAUGGAUUGAGAGCUAUGCCUAAAGUUGAGGGGUCCUGGGUUCAAAACUUGCCUCAGACACUUCUAGCUGUGUGACUCUGGGUAAGUCACUUACCCACUGUUGACUAGCUCUUUUCCUCGAAACCAGCACAUAAUAAUGAUUCUUUUUAAUUUUAAAAUAUUUUUCCAUGGUUACAUGAUUUAUGUUCUCUCUCUCCCCUCUUCACCCCAACUCCCGCAGCUGACAAGCAAAUCCACUGGGUAAUAACGUGUAUUAUCACUUGAUACCUAUUUC